rnacentral:rRNA from 1 species
AUUGAACGCUGGCGGCAUGCCUUACACAUGCAAGUCGAACGGCAGCACGGACUUCGGUCUGGUGGCGAGUGGCGAACGGGUGAGUAAUGCAUCGGAACGUGCCAUUGAGUGGGGGAUAACGUAGCGAAAGUUGCGCUAAUACCGCAUAUUCUGUGAGCAGGAAAGCAGGGGACCGCAAGGCCUUGCGCUCUUUGAGCGGCCGAUGUCAGAUUAGCUAGUUGGUGAGGUAAAGGCUUACCAAGGCGACGAUCUGUAGCGGGUCUGAGAGGAUGAUCCGCCACACUGGAACUGAGACACGGUCCAGACUCCUACGGGAGGCAGCAGUGGGGAAUUUUGGACAAUGGGCGCAAGCCUGAUCCAGCCAUGCCGCGUGCGGG